AAUAUGUAAUAGGUUCCAGUUUCCUUGAGAAGAAGAUCACUUAAAGUCAUGGCCCUUACUGCCAGGUAAGCAAGUUAACUAUCAAGCUACUUCAGAAAUAAUUUAAUUUCCCUUCUGUUUCUAGAGAGGAUGGAGAGGGGCAGUCAUUGAAAUCUAAGGAAGUGCAGAAUCAUGAAGCCUAAUCUGAGGAAGCCUAAGAGGAUAAGAAAGUCUUUCAUAUGAAUUCUGAAUCUAGAAGUGGACGCUUUAAAAUCUUCCAAAAUGAAUAAACAGACCUUUUAUUCAAGAUCCAGAGCUCUGCUGUUGACAAGAAUGCUUUCAAUUUGGGAUUUUCUUUCACUAGCUUUGUCUGAGUCCCCUGGCAACACUGUAAGAAAAUUUGGGACCUGGAUAAGAUUUGGCACAGGGAUAGCUCCGUAUCCUUAACAUGAACAAGGCAUUCUGACCAGUUGCAGCACUCUGGCCUGAUAGUGAGAAUCUGCUACAGAAAAUGUUGUUGUAUACUGUCAGUGUGUUUUACAUGGAGUUUUUAGACACAAGCCUUCAAUCCUGCUAGGUACUACUUCAAAUUAAUGUUAUUACUGAAAUCAAUGAGAAUAGCAAAGCGCAUUAAGCAAACCCUGGAAUUACAUAUCGCACUGUAUUGGUGACAAGGUGGCUGAUCAGAAUAUGCUGUAAAAUAUUUUUUCUAUGUAUUCU
rnacentral:lncRNA from 1 species